CAAGUGCGGAGAAAGGCCCAAAGGAGAAGUUAGCUGCAGCCGUGACCGUUGUUGAGUGCUCACUAGAGCCAGGCUCUAAUAAUCGCUUGCUACUAAAUUCUCAAAAUGAUUGUGUAAGGUACGUGUUAUCCGCGUUUCACAGGGGAGGAGACUCAAGGUAUCAGUAAUUUGCAAAGGCCAAACAUCAGGUAAGUUGUAAAGCCAAUGUAAUGGAAGCACAGGCCAUUAGUGACUUGACUACCCCAGAUCUUCUUCCCAGGUGGAACAGGUUCGGCCCAAACCAUUCUCCCAGCCCUGUUGCUUGACAUGCAUUCUUCCAUUCGCUGUCGUUGCAAACAAUUGGGUUAGAUUUUGUUCUUUAAAAUGUAGAAUACAGGAACCAGAAUGUUCUUCCUUCAGGGACAUCAGCCACUUGGUUUCCCUUUCUCAACCCGUUUUUCCCAUCCAUAAUUGCCUUGCACACAUUGUCUUCUCUUUUCAGGAAUAAUGAACGGGGAUCCUGGAAACUAACAUACUUUUCCCCAUCUCUGAGCCUUUGUGUAUAUGUUGUUCCUUCUACCAGGAAACUACCCUGCCCUUGUCCCAGUUGAUCGCUUUUGUUCUGUGAACACAUUUGGGGAAUUCUCCCUGACCCUACUUCUCUCUUAGAUAGAGAAGGCACAAAGUAUAAGUACCUGAGGAUACACAACUAAUGAAGAAACAGCUCAGAUUUGACCAAGAUUACUUAAUUAAGAACUGGGGAAUUAGAACCCACUGCGACUGACUCCAAAUUAAUACAGUGAUUGUAGUAGCUUUAUUAUAAUAGUGGUAAAGAUUUUUUGCUAUAAAUUUACUGAUAGAAUGAAACAGUACAUGACAGAUUCCCAAAGGUUACACACAUGGCAGAAAGAAUCAGGAAAUAAAUAGAAACAGCAGAGCAGCAGUAAAAGUAAAAUCUUCCAAAAUAAACGUAAAAACUGAAAAUACUGAAAUAGAAAUAAAAUUGAUCAUCAUAAUAGCUUGUAUCUGAAGAGAAUAAUAAGUAGACACUUAACAAACCUGGAGAAGAAAAGGAGAGGAAACAAUAUUGGAAACAAAGGAAACAUUGCAGAUAUGGAGACUUAGAAAAUCAGAAGUGAGCUAUU